GAUGAACGCUGGCGGCGUGCCUAACACAUGCAAGUCGAGCGGCAGCGAGGGGUGCUUGCACCCUGUCGGCGAGCGGCGGACGGCUGAGUAACGCGUGGGAACGUGCCCCAAAGUGAGGAAUAACUGCCCGAAAGGGUAGCUAAUACCGCAUAUUAUCUUCGGAUCAAAGGAUUUAUCCGCUUUGGGAGCGGCUCGCGUCGGAUUAGGUAGUUGGUGAGGUAAUGGCUCACCAAGCCGACGAUCCGUAGCUGGUCUGAGAGGAUGACCAGCCAGACUGGAACUGAGACACGGUCCAGACUCCUACGGGAGGCAGCAGUGAGGAAUCUUCCACAAGGGGCGAAAGCCUGAUGGAGCAACGCCGCGUGCAGGACGAAGGCCUUCGGGUUGUAAACUGCUUUUAUAAGUGAGGAAUAUGACGGUAACUUAUGAAUAAGGAUCGGCUAACUACGUG
rnacentral:rRNA from 1 species